rnacentral:sRNA from 1 species
UUUUUGCGUGAGGGAUAGAAACGGCAUCCUUUUGUGAGUAUGCGAACAAAAGAUAUAGUGGAUAGCCCGACCUGAU